CACCGGCGGACUGCUCAGUAACACGUGGACAACCUACCCUCGGGUGGGGGAUAACCUCGGGAAACUGAGGCUAAUACCCCAUAGGCCUCGGAUACUGGAAGGUUCCGAGACCGAAAGCUCCGGCGCCCGAGGAUGGGUCUGCGGCCUAUCAGGUAGUUGGUGGUGUAAAGGACCACCAAGCCUACGACGGGUACGGGCCCUGAGAGGGGGAGCCCGGAGAUGGACUCUGAGACACGAGUCCAGGCCCUACGGGGCGCAGCAGGCGCGAAACCUUCGCAAUGCGCGAAAGCGCGACGAGGGGAGCCCGAGUGCCCUUCCUUUCGGGAGGGCUUUUCUGGAGCCUAAAAAGCUCCAGGAAUAAGGGCUGGGCAGGACGGGUGCCAGCCGCCGCGGUAAUACCCGCAGCUCGAGUGGUGGCCACUAUUAUUGAGCCUAAAGCGUCCGUAGCCGGACCCGUAAAUCCCUGGGUAAAUCCUGGCGCUCAACGUCAGGAAUUCCGGGGAGACUGCGGGUCUUGGGACCGGGAGAGGCCGGAGGUACUCCCGGGGUAGGGGUAAAAUCCUGUAAUCCCGGGGGGACCACCUGUGGCGAAAGCGUCCGGCUUGAACGGCUCCGACGGUGAGGGACGAAGGCCAGGGGAGCAAACCGGAUUAGAUACCCGGGUAGUCCUGGCUGUAAACGCUGCCCGCUUGGUGUUG
rnacentral:rRNA from 1 species